rnacentral:rRNA from 1 species
AGGUAGUGACAAGAAAUAACAAUACAGGGCUUAAAGUCUUGUAAUUGGAAUGAUGGGAAUCUAAACCCUUCCCAGAGUAUCAAUUGGAGGGCAAGUCUGGUGCCAGCAGCCGCGGUAAUUCCAGCUCCAAUAGCGUAUAUUAAAGUUGUUGCAGUUAAGAAGCUCGUAGUUGAAUUUCUGCCUUGUCAUUAAUCUCGCUUCCGAGCGUUUUUUUAUUGGCUUGGCAUCUUCUGGAUUUGGUGCCUUCGGGUACUAUUUUCCAGGAUUUACUUUGAGAAAACUAGAGUGUUUCAAACAGGCAUUCGCCUUGAAUACUACAGCAUGGAAUAAUGAAGUAGGACUUUGGUUCUAUUUUGUUGGUUAUUGAGCCAGAGUAAUGGUUAAUAGGAGCA